GAUGAACGCUGGCGGCGUGCCUAAUACAUGCAAGUCGAGCGAACGGACGAGAAGCUUGCUUCUCUGAUGUUAGCGGUGGACGGGUGAGUAACACGUGGAUAACCUACCUAUAAGACUGGGAUAACUUCGGGAAACCGGAGCUAAUACCGGAUAAUAUUUUGAACCGCAUGGUUCAAAAGUGAAAGACGGUCUUGCUGUCUCUUAUAGAUGGAUCCGCGCUGCAUUAGCUAGUUGGUAAGGUAACGGCUUACCAAGGCAACGAUGCAUAGCCGACCUGAGAGGGUGAUCGGCCACACUGGAACUGAGACACGGUCCAGACUCCUACGGGAGGCAGCAGUAGGGAAUCUUCCGCAAUGGGCGAAAGCCUGACGGAGCAACGCCGCGUGAGUGAUGAAGGUCUUCGGAUCGUAAAACUCUGUUAUUAGGGAAGAACAUAUGUGUAAGUAACUGUGCACAUCUUGACGGUACCUAAUCAGAAAGCCACGGCUAACUACGUG
rnacentral:rRNA from 1 species